GCAAGUGGCCGAGGCGGCGCGGAGAGGGCUGGGCUAGGAUGCGGGGUGGCUGCUGCGCUUACCUCCUCUCUGGUGGUCUCAGCUGGCCCCCUUCAGACUGGUGGUGGCCAGGGACGCAUCUGCUGUAGACUUACUUCCCUUGACCAUCGGAUGUUGCUGGAUCUUGUGGCAAAGCCAGAAAUAGAGUCUACUACAAGCCUACUGCACCUAUUAAACGAGCCUUCUUUCCUGCACAAAGACGACUAGUAUCUGUUGAACAAGUUCCGAUGCUAACUCUGAAGGCAGAGCAUGCUACAUUAUAUCUACGUAAAAGUUGUUAUAAAAUCAUGAAUUUUGUGCCACAUUGCCAAGCAAUUGGCAUUCAUGCUACAUCACCACCCUGCCAGAAAAUUCCAGCACUCAAGUAAAGGCAGCAGCAGCAAAUCCUGAUUUCUUAUGCCUUGCUUUUCUGUAUAGGAUAUUCAUCAUAACAGCAAGUCUGAACUACCUUCA